rnacentral:rRNA from 1 species
UACGUAGGGCGCAAGCGUUGUCCGGAAUUAUUGGGCGUAAAGAGCGUGUAGGCGGCCAGGUAGGUCUGCUGUGAAAACUCGAGGCUCAACCUCGAGACGUCGGCGGAAACCAUCUGGCUAGAGUCCGGAAGAGGAGAGUGGAAUUCCUGGUGUAGCGGUGAAAUGCGCAGAUAUCAGGAAGAACACCCGUGGCGAAGGCGGCUCUCUGGGACGGUACUGACGCUGAGACGCGAAAGCGUGGGGAGCGAACAGG